GACGUCGAAUAUCGACGUUAUAAACACAAGAGUUGAUCGUGGUUAUGAUGUCGAAUAUCGACGUCAUAAACACCAAAGAUGAUCGUGUUUAUGACGUCCAAUAUCGACGUCAUAAACACCAAAAUUGAUCGUGUUUAUGAAGCCGAAUAUCGACGUCAUAAACACGAAAGUUGAUGGUGUUUAUGUCGUCGAAUAUCGACGUCAUAAACACCUAAGUUGAUUGUGUUUAUGACGUCGAAUAUCGGCGUCAUAAACACCAAAGCUGAUCGUGUUUAUCACGUCGAAAAUCGACGUC
rnacentral:miRNA from 1 species